CUCUGUGAUGCCCAAGAGAACUCUCUACAGGAUGAGCCUGUGCACUAGAGAAGGGGUUACAGAGGCUACGGCCAGAGGAAGCUUUGUGACAGCUGCGCCUAGGGAGAGUCUUCACGACCCCUGUGCUUGGAGAAUGUACGACCGAAGGAGAGGCUGGGUACAAUUUACCAGCAGAACCCUACAGAGGAAAAGACCACAACCACAGACAAAGGAGACCAGGAAGCAGAGAAAUCCUGAGGACAAGGCCCAUGUACACCAGCAGUCUGCUGUUUGUGACCAAAAUGACCAUUUGGAGACAUCAAACAACCAGUCCUCAACCAGCAACUGACCAGUAAUUUGUCCUAUUGGUCAAAUUACUUUUGCAUGUUUAGAUCUUGCCUCAGAAGAUUUUGUGGUCUAGCAGAUGGCUUCAGGAAAAUCACGUCUACUUUACACACGGAAGUAGACGUUUUACAAAAUAUUUUAAUUAUAUUUUCUUAUCAUAAAAAUAAUAUGAGAAUUUUAUUAGAAAUUAGAAAAUGUAGGGGUGCCUGGGUGGCUCAGCCGGUUGAGUGUCUGCCUUUGGCUCAGGUCAUGAUCCCAGGGUCCUGAGAUUGAGCCCCGCAUCAGGCUCUCUGCUCAGCAGGGAGUCUACUUCUUCCUCUCAUUCUCCCUCUGCUCUGUCUCUCAACUAAAUAAAUAAAAUCUUUAAAAAAAAAUUAAAGACUAG
rnacentral:lncRNA from 12 species